rnacentral:lncRNA from 1 species
CUUCCUUUAUUGCCAUUUUUCUUCUUUCUUUUGUCUUCAAGAAACGUUCAGUCAAUAAAAUUGGUCUCCUCCUUGCGGGGGACUUUUCUUCUCUUCUUUUUCUUUCUUUCUUUCUUCUUCUUUGUAAUGAGCUGCAUUUUAACGCGUUGACCUCCCGAUGGCAGUGCCCCACCGAAGCGCUUCCCUUGCCUUAGAGGAUUCCGCUGAAGUCUACAAUCCAGUGGCUGAAGAAGGAAGUCCUCCAUUUAACAAAAAGGUCGAAGA